rnacentral:rRNA from 1 species
CUCGUGUCGUGAGAUGUUGGGUUAAGUCCCGCAACGAGCGCAACCCUCGCCUCUAGUUGCCAGCAUUCGGUUGGGCACUCUAGAGGGACUGCCGGCGACAAGUCGGAGGAAGUGGGGAUGACGUCAAAUCAUCAUGCCCCUUAUGACCUGGGCUACACACGUGCUACAAUGGUUGGUACAACGAGUUGCGAGUCGGUGACGGCGAGCUAAUCUCUUAAAGCCAAUCUCAGUUCGGAUUGUAGGCUGCAACUCGCCUACAUGAAGUCGGAAUCGCUAGUAAUCGCGGAUCAGCACGCCGCGGUGAAUACGUUCCCGGGCCUU